GCCGUCUCGGCGGUCGACGCGUCGUGUGCGCUCGCAUGCCGAGCGCCGACGACAGAUGCAUUGCUGAUGGCGCUAUUGAUGGGAUCACCGAUGCGUGAGCCUUUGGCUGCGGGCGUGUUGGUGUGCAUCUGCAUGAGCGGGGUGUGUUGUGUUUUCUUUUCCUCCCCGCUGUCUUCUUUUUCUUUUCACCCGGCGGUCCGCGUGCGCCUUUUUUUCUGCCCCCUCUUGCUGUUCCUUUGCUUUUUCCCUCUAUCCCGGCGCCUUUUUUCCUCUCUGUCUGUAUGUGGGUUCGGUUGAGGCUGUGGGCACGUUGUAUCUUUUUUCCUCUCG
rnacentral:lncRNA from 1 species